rnacentral:rRNA from 1 species
UACAGGCUUAACACAUGCAAGUCGAGGGGCAUCAGGAAGAAAGCUUGCUUUCUUUGCUGGCGACCGGCGCACGGGUGAGUAACACGUAUCCAACCUGCCCUUUACUCGGGGAUAGCCUUUCGAAAGAAAGAUUAAUACCCGAUAGCAUAAUGAUUCCGCAUGGUUUCAUUAUUAAAGGAUUCCGGUAAAGGAUGGGGAUGCGUUCCAUUAGGUUGUUGGUGAGGUAACGGCCCACCAAGCCUUCGAUGGAUAGGGGUUCUGAGAGGAAGGUCCCCCACAUUGGAACUGAGACACGGUCCAAACUCCUACGGGAGGCAGCAGUGAGGAAUAUUGGUCAAUGGGCGCUAGCCUGAACCAGCCAAGUAGCGUGAAGGAUGAAGGCUCUAUGGGUCGUAAACUUCUUUUAUAUAAGAAUAAAGUGCAGUAUGUAUACUGUUUUGUAUGUAUUAUAUGAAUAAGGAUCGGCUAACUCCGUGCCAGCAGCCGCGGUAAUACGGAGGAUCCGAGCGUUAUCCGGAUUUAUUGGGUUUAAAGGGAGCGUAGGUGGACUGGUAAGUCAGUUGUGAAAGUUUGCGGCUCAACCGUAAAAUUGCAGUUGAUACUGUCAGUCUUGAGUACAGUAGAGGUGGGCGGAAUUCGUGGUGUAGCGGUGAAAUGCUUAGAUAUCACGAAGAACUCCGAUUGCGAAGGCAGCUCACUGGACUGCAACUGACACUGAUGCUCGAAAGUGUGGGUAUCAAACAGGAUUAGAUACCCUGGUAGUCCACACAGUAAACGAUGAAUACUCGCUGUUUGCGAUAUACAGUAAGCGGCCAAGCGAAAGCAUUAAGUAUUCCACCUGGGGAGUACGCCGGCAACGGUGAAACUCAAAGGAAUUGACGGGGGCCCGCACAAGCGGAGGAACAUGUGGUUUAAUUCGAUGAUACGCGAGGAACCUUACCCGGGCUUAAAUUGCAGUGGAAUGAUGUGGAAACAUGUCAGUGAGCAAUCACCGCUGUGAAGGUGCUGCAUGGUUGUCGUCAGCUCGUGCCGUGAGGUGUCGGCUUAAGUGCCAUAACGAGCGCAACCCUUAUCUUUAGUUACUAACAGGUUAUGCUGAGGACUCUGGAGAGACUGCCGUCGUAAGAUGUGAGGAAGGUGGGGAUGACGUCAAAUCAGCACGGCCCUUACGUCCGGGGCUACACACGUGUUACAAUGGGGGGUACAGAAGGCAGCUAGCGGGUGACCGUAUGCUAAUCCCAAAAGCCUCUCUCAGUUCGGAUCGAAGUCUGCAACCCGACUUCGUGAAGCUGGAUUCGCUAGUAAUCGCGCAUCAGCCACGGCGCGGUGAAUACGUUCCCGGGCCUUGUACACACCGCCCGUCAAGCCAUGAAAGCCGGGGGUACCUGAAGUACGUAACCGCAAGGAGCGUCCUAGGGUAAAACUGGUGACUGGGGCUAAGUAA